AAUCUUAUAAUUUAUAAUAAAAUUUUAAAUUGCAAAUUUAAAAAAGAGUAUUUCUAAGAUUU
rnacentral:tRNA from 1 species